UCCUACGGGAGGCUGCAGUCGAGAAUCUUCGGCAAUGGGGGAAACCCUGACCGAGCGACGCCGCGUGCGGGAUGAAGGCCUUCUGGUUGUAAACCGCUGUCGUAGAGGAGGAAAUGCAGGGGGGUUCUCCCUCCUGUUUGACCUAUUCUAGGAGGAAGUACGGGCUAAGUUCGUGCCAGCAGCCGCGGUAAGACGAACCGUACAAACGUUACUCGGAAUUACUGGGCUUAAAGGGUGCGUAGGCUGCGCGGAAAGUUGGGUGUGAAAGCCCUCGGCUCAACCGAGGAAUUGCAUCCAAAACUACCGUGCUCGAGGGAGACAGAGGUGAGUGGAACUCAAGGUGGAGCGGUGAAAUGCGUUGAUAUCUUGAGGAACACCGGUGGCGAAAGCGACUCACUGGGUCUUUUCUGACGCUGAGGCACGAAAGCUAAGGUAGCAAACGGGAUUAGAUACCCCAGUAGUC
rnacentral:rRNA from 1 species